rnacentral:ncRNA from 1 species
CCUUGGUUCUGUUUCUGUUGGGUUUCGGAACCGAGGUAAUGAUUAAUAGGGACAGUUGGGGCCAUUAGUACUGCAAUGUCAGAGGUGAAAUUCUUGGAUUUUUGCAAGACUAACUUAUGCGAAAGCAUUUGGCAAGGAUGUUUUCAUUAAUCAAGAACGAAAGUUAGGGGAUCGAAGACGAUUAGAUACCGUCGUAGUCUUAACCAUAAACUAUGCUGAAUAGGGAUCGGGUGUUUUUAUUAAAUGACUCGCUCGGCACCUUACGAGAAAUAAAAGUUUUUGGGAUCCGGGGGGAGUAUGGUCGCAAGGCUGAAACUUAAAGGAAAUGACGGAAGGGCACCACCAGGAGUAAACAAUCUGCUUAGCCGCACGGUAUCUGCUCCUAGAAGCGGCUCGAAAGAGUUGGUGGGUUAGUCCAUUCAAUCAUUGAUAAACACGCUAGUUUGACUUUAGUCAAGCAACACCGUCAAAUUGCGGGAAACUCCUAAAGCUCCAGCUACCAACUUGACCUCGAAAGAGAGCCAAGGGACAGGGUAAUGACCUCGUGUAUGGUAAAAACGCUGGAGAUGCGCUCAUUCGUGGGCAAAAUGGACAAUCCGCAGCCAAGCCAUAAGGUCUAUUGACUAUGGGUGCAGUUCAGAGACUAAAUGUCGGUGGGUGCUAGGAUAUUGAGUGAUCAGUAUUCAUUGCGCUUAAGAUAGAGUCCAACCUUUCGCGAAAGUGGGAGUAUUUUAACUGGAAAUAUACCUUCCAGUUAAAAGGUUAACUUAA